GGAAUAUAAGAACUCGUCUCUUAACUUUUAGCUAAAUAAAGCUAAGAACAGGUUCUUAAAUAAGAAUUUAAGAACGUUUUUACCUUUUUUAGCUAAAUAUUUAAGAACUGGUUCUUAGCUUUAUUUAGCUAAAAAUUAAGAGACGGGUUCUUAAAUUCC
rfam:Brassica oleracea var. oleracea cultivar TO1000 chromosome C8, whole genome shotgun sequence